GAGAAGUACUCAACUUUGUUGGAAAAUAUUAACUUCCAUAAUUUUAUGUUUAGGAGUAAUAAAAUAUAAAUAGACGGAUAUAUUACCUUCCUCGGAUUAACUAAAACUCUACUCUUUCCAAUUCUGUCGUGUGAAUAUAAAUUACAAUAAUAUAAUGCUAACUUUGCAUUUUGAAAUGGUCCAAAGUAGACCGCUAAAGUUCAGAUAUACAAAAAUAUGCCAAAUUCACGAAGGGAAUAACACUUGUAAUCUUUCUUAAAAGUGAAGACAUAGAAAAGACCUAAAUUUCAAGAAACUAUAUAUACUUCUCGAAGGUCAUUAUGUUUUGCUGCUACUCUACUCUUGAAAGACAUUUUUUAAUUCAAUGGAUUUCUCUUCAGUAGAUCAAUCGGCAGCCUUUUCAGCAAGAACUGGCAUACACAACUGAACAACAAAAACAAAUUACAAAAUCCAACAGGCCAAGAAAGCUAUACCGGUCAUUAUUUUUACUACUGACUCAAUCCAUUUAGGCUUAGCCUUCAAUGACAUCACAAUGCGAUGCUUCUGAACAGAAGCUGAGAGCGAUCCAAUUAUAGAGAAAAACGCAAUAGAGACACUGCAAAGGAAAAGAUAAGUUAGAAAAUGCUAGUCAGAACUCCCCUCAUCUGCCAACCAGAAAGAAUAAAAACUUAACGGAACCAUACGCAGCUCCCCUUCAACAUUCUACGUUGAAGAAAUAAAAGAAACUAAAUGGAUAUAUUUUGUAGCAGGAUGUUAGCAUUUAUAACCGAUAAUUGGAUAGACUUAAAAAGAGGACAAAUAAGCACAUAAUCUAUUUGAGUCUAAAAUGUUAUAUACAAACAACAUAUCAACUGCUCGAAAAGGAAUUAUUUUAUCAAAUUUACUAUAGUUUCAAUAAAGUUUCAAACUUUUCAAUCACAACUGUCAAAAUUAAGCAACGCAAAGGUUAAAACACUCCUGAAAGCUUAUUUCUUAUGGGUAUCCUAAAUAAUUGAUAUGAUAAAACAGUUACUUGACCAAAGUGGCAGAGAUUGCACCUCGUGGCUAUCAAGGCAAUUACACCUGGGCAGUUAUGGGAGCGAUACUGUUGAGAAACAUGUCAGGCUAAUAGAAGGGAAAAAUAUUUGAAAGAAAAGAGUAAUAAAUUGUACAAGACAAGACAAGACAAGAUUUACGUAGUUCGACAAUUUUGCCUACUCCACAGUCAUACAAAGAAUAGCUCUUUAUUAAUUGAAGAGAGAAAGAAAAAG
rnacentral:lncRNA from 1 species